AAGGUGGGUGGUGGAGGAGGAGGAGAGCGAGGGAGGACGACGAGGCUGCCUGGCGGAGGCACGAGGGGAAGGUGAGCGUCACCUGCAAGGCCACAAUCUUGGUGAGACUGCCACCACGAGCGUGCCCCACGACCGCCACCAGGAUCUCAAGCUCGCCAUCGAUGACUUCGACGAGGAGUUGAUCGACCCUGAGCUACGCUUCUCGUUCCAGCGCAACAACAAGUCCAUUCAGCAAACCUUGGCGCUCCUCACCUAUCGCAGCCUCUUCGGCAUCGCCAUCAGACUUCCUGUCAUGCUGCUCCAAGAUAGGCGUGCCUGAUUUUCCGACAGACUUGGUACAGAUUUGGGAGGGAGGCAUGUGCAGGUGGAGCUACAGUGGCAGUUCAGAUCCGCUGUCAUGAGCUGCUACUGAUCCUGAUGCGUGAAGACUUGCGACAAAUGACGGCAAAAAAGAUAUAGCAGGAGUGUGGAGAAUAAUGGCACUUGGGGAUUCAGGUGUUUGUGGAGUGGACUUGACUGACAAAGUAGUGGACAUAAUUUUCCAUGUAUUUGAUGCUAACUGUGAUGGUAACCUAAGCUCAGAGGAGUUCUUGAGGUCAUUACAAAGAAGAGAAAAUGACAUUCGCCAGCCAGCAACUUCUGGUUUUCUAGGGGUGAUCGCCUGCUGGUUGAACUGUACAAAGUGUUCUCUUCAACAAAUGCUGCCCCAGUAGAUUCUUUUGACAGUCGUGACACUUUGUUCCAUUGUCCUUGGUUGCUCUGUGUUAAAUGAGCUGGAGAACGUGAUCGACAACCGAUAGAGUUCUGAAGUGUGAAGAGGACUUUUGGUGUAAAUAUUACCCUGCGGCCCCUACUUAAUACUGAUUAGAAUUGGUCAUACCACGUAGCAGCUGAAGUGCUUGUUCAGCAUGAUGAGUGAUCUUCCUUCUGUCUUAGAAGCAUUCGUGGACAGGAAACACAAUAAAGAUAGGUCUGGGGUUGAUAGCAGCGGCAAGUCCAGACACUCAUCAAAUGUGCCCACAUGAAUCUUUCCAACAAGAGGAAAAGAUGGCCAUGCCAAGAGUUCCAGGGCAGCACCUCCUGCCGCCAAUGAGUAUGACGAAGACGAGGAGGAGCACACGAAGACCUUUUGUGGAAGCUAUGGCGACCUUUACAUUGGCAGCAACUAAAUAAUGUAUUCAUGUUCCAUUUUUCUUUUUCUUUUGAAAAAAGGAGAAUAAUAUAUGUUUUAGCUGCAUCUACAUCGCCAGUCUGCACCGCAUCUAAUGAUUUGUUCAAUAACUGGUAGGGAUUGAGUUAGCUGACAAUAGGCCAUUUGAUUCCAUCCCAUUUUUUGGUGCAUGUAGUGUAUCAUGUUUCGUUUACCAUCUCUAUUGUCAAGAUUAAAGCUCUGGAUAUCUUUUCAAGACCAUGCUGAGUGUACAGUUUCUAUUUAUCCACUGAAAUCUAUCUUCUGGAGGACCGAGGCCAUUCAAGUAGAGGGUGCAGGGACAGACUCCUGUUCCCCGUGGUACUCAAGGCCUGUGAUUGCGUGCAUGGCUGCAGGGAGGACUCUUGGUUCCCGGCGAAUAGAGUAACUUUUUGAGUACCAGUGAUGUAAAGGGACACAAGCUCUAGCAAUGUUUCUGCUUCUCAUGUAGGCCGUGUAAGACGUCGCAAACAUCCAACUAAGGCUACCACAGAUGGGAAUAGAGCUAAUGGACAACCAUUGCUUGUCAAUGAUCAGAACAAAUAUAAAUCAAUGCUUACCCAUACGUAUUCUACAGUAUGGAUGAUUAGAGGCUUUGCCUUUAUUAUUUAUAUGGGUCAUCUAUAUAUCUGGGCUAUGGUGGUUGUGAUUCAAAUAUACAUGGCAAGAGAACUUUUCAACUUACUCAGAAAAUCCAGUGAAGAGAAACAACUGCCAGGGUUCAGGGUCCUGAAUUGAUCUAGAUGCCAACCAUUAGGCAUGAUUCGAUUCUAGAAGAUCCUGAUGGUGACACCUCACAACCACAACACAUCUCGAACUACUACCAUGUCAAUCUCAAGAAUGUGAUGAUAACAUGACCAUUCAAAUUGGUGAAGUACUUCAGAUGCAAAUUGAGGUUCAGAGAUAGUUAAAUGAACAACUUGAGAAAUGGUCAUUUGUUAAAUCUGAGCAUAAAAGAUCGGAAAUCCAAGGGCUUAUGGAAUUGGUAUUGCAAAGAUCUUCAUGUGAUUCGGAUCCUUAUAAGGAAAGAUAAUUUAUAUACAUGAGGGAGCCACCUAUUGAUUCUUUUGAUGUCUCUACAUGUGGCCUUGAUUUGCUGGAUGACAUCUUGUUGGGUUAUAAAGCUGAAUGGCCAAUGAAUAUUGGCAUUACAGUAGACGCAUUGAAAAUACAUGCUAAAAUAUUAUGAAUGUUCUUUACCGCAGUUGCUGCGGAGGAAGCCGACAGCGCGGCUAUGGUCGCUGAGAAGAAGGUUGUCGCGUCUGUGUAGCUUGUCACCAUUGCUGCGCACAAGGCGGGCUGCGCCGUGGAUGCUGUCUGUUUGUAUUACUUUUGGUUGGUUGCAUUAAGUGUUGUACUGUGUGUUUGGUAAUGCAGUUACUUUUGUAUUCAGUGAACUGUUUGGUAAUGCGGUUCCUUUUGUAUUUAGUGAAUUGUGUGGUACUGCGUACACACUGUAGUUUCUUUUGUAUUAAGUGUAGUAGUGAUGAGGUAAUGCAUUGCACUUGUACUACUGAGCUAAAUCUAUGUACUUGUGCUUGUUGUGGCUAAAAAGCAUAUGUUUAAGAAAAAACUGCUUUCUGUGAA